rnacentral:rRNA from 1 species
CCAGACUCCUACGGGAGGCAGCAGUGGGGAAUAUUGCACAAUGGGGGAAACCCUGAUGCAGCAACGCCGCGUGAAGGAAGACGGUUUUCGGAUUGUAAACUUCUGUUCUUAGUGAAGAAUAAUGACGGUAGCUAAGGAGCAAGCCACGGCUAACUACGUGCCAGCAGCCGCGGUAAUACGUAGGUGGCAAGCGUUAUCCGGAUUUACUGGGUGUAAAGGGAGCGUAGACGGCAGAGCAAGUCUGAAGUGAAAGCCCGCGGCCCAACUGCGGGACUGCUUUGGAAACUGCCCGGCUAGAGUGCUGGAGAGGUAAGCGGAAUUCCUAGUGUAGCGGUGAAAUGCGUAGAUAUUAGGAGGAACACCAGUGGCGAAGGCGACUUUCUGGACUGUACCUGACGCUGAGGCGCGAAAGCGUGGGUAGCGAACGGGAUUAGAUACCCUCGUA